GACGAACGCUGGCGGCGUGCUUAACACAUGCAAGUCGAACGAAGUGGCGAACGGGUGAGUAACGCGUAAUCAACCUGCCCUUCAGAGGGGGACAACAGUUGAAACCGACUGCUAAUACCGCAUACUGAAGGAGGGGAUGGCGGCUGAUUAGCUAGCUGGUGGGGUAACGGCCCACCACGGCGAUGACCAGUAGCCGGUCUGAGGGGAUGAACGGCCACAUUGGGACUGGGACACGGCCCAGACCCCUAAGGGGGGCAGCAGGGGGGAAUCUUCCGCAAUGGACGGAAGUCUGACGGAGCAACGCCGCGGGAGUGAUGACGGCCUUCGGGUUGUAAAGCUCUGUUAAUCGGGACGCGGUACCGGAAUAGAAAGCCACGGCUAACUACGUGCCAGCAGCCGCGGUAAUUC
rnacentral:rRNA from 1 species